CAGUAGCCGCGGGAAUACGAAGGGGGCUAGCGUUGCUCGGAAUGACUGGGCGUAAAGGGCGCGUAGGCGGUUUAUACAGUCAGAUGUGAAAUUCCUGGGCUCAACCUGGGGACUGCAUUUGAUACGUAUGGACUUGAGUGGAGGAGAGGGUCGUGGAAUUUCCAGUGUAGAGGUGAAAUUCGUAGAUAUUGGAAAGAACACCGGUGGCGAAGGCGGCGACCUGGCCUUUAACUGACGCUGAGGCGCGAAAGCGUGGGGAGCAAACAGGAUUAGAUACCCCGGUAGUCCCUGUCUCUUAUAC
rnacentral:rRNA from 1 species